UCACAUUUCUGUUGUUUUUUCAUUCCUAUUCUAUUCCAUGGAACACAGUCUGGUACUAAAUAUCAACGGAUACAGUCUCAACAUAGACAAAUGAAGAAAUUAAUUUGAAACUCUAUGAUUCAUGAUACUAAUCUCCACUGGGAUACAGAAAACUCACUUAAACUAACAUGUGCUCCACUCCAAAUGCUAUACCAGUAUAAUAAUACUUUGAAAAAUUCCAAAUAGCAAAGCUAAGUAAGUAACCAAAACGAAAGAUAAAUGAAAAUUAAAAUCGAAUUGGAAACUUUUUUAACCUUUUAUCACCUUCAAGGCUACAUCAAAAUUCACCGCCAAAAAACUGGAUUCAUUGGAACCAGACAUGAAUAAAGAUUCAUUUUACCCGAAAACGAAUCCAACCAAACAAAAGCAAAGGAGAGAUCAAAACCUUUUCAGAGUAGAGAGGCAGGGAACGCAAGGACCCGAGCGACAGCAUUCAAAUGUAACACGAGUUCCUCCAGAAACUUCCUUGAAGCUCAGCAGGACCUCUCCUCGCUGCACUUUUCUUUCAAGAAAAGAGGGCUACAAAUUUUUUAAAGACAAAAUAAUUUUGUAUGAUUGAUUUAAUGGACAUUUAAUGAAAGAGGAAAAUAUCACUAAUGGAUAAAUCAUAUAUUCGCUUUUAAGAAGAAAAUAAUAAUAAAUCUAAUAGAAUUUUUUAAAGAGGAAAAUAUCAGAAUCAUGAUAGGAAAUAAUUUUGUAUGAUUGAUUUAUGGAAAAUUAUGAAGGUUAUUAGAAAAUUUAAGAGUUUACUAAUUCAGCAUCACUAAUUUGGAUAAAUCAUCCACUCCCUUUUAAGACUAAAAUAACAACAAAUCUAAUAAUCCAGUAGUUUAGAAAACAUUACCAUAUCUGAUCCAUCUCGAUCUAUAUAUAUAUAUAUGUGUCUGUUCUCCAGUUCUUCACAACAAAGCAAAACCAAAAAGCUCUGAUAUCGAUUGACACUUACUCGGAAUUUCUACAUCCAUUUAAAGAAGAAGAAGAAGAUGCGUUCAAGCAGAGUAGCAUCAGCCACUGAGGACGUCGAGCAUCAAGUGAAAGCAAGUAUUGACAAGCUAUUUCGGAUGGCGGAAUCGGAUGCCAAAUUCAUGUGGAGAAAACUCGUCGGCAGCAUGGAAGACAACGACGUGAAGCAUUGCAGCAGAGAGAAGAAGACACAUGUGCGUUCUUCUUUAUGGAAUUUUUGGGCCAAAAAGGAAUUAUAUGAGAAGCUGGGAGGAGGAGGAGUUUCUGAUUGUUCUUCUGGAGGCAGCCUUGAAGAUAUUACUGUAAGUUGGAUACAGAAGUAUCUAAGAAACUGUCCCCUCCACAAGGGAAUUGCCGAGAAGGAAGACGAACACAUGAUGAUUAUUAGGUUUGGGCGGAAGAUUAAAAAAUUGUUUAAGAAGAAAAUGAAACCUACUGCUGCUGCUUCCGCUAAUGUUCAAUCCAACUUAAACUUCUCCAUCUCUUGGGGCUGUGUAAGUUUUCAUUCUGAGGUUUGCGUUAAAAAACCACUUUGGUGUAAAUCACUACUUAGUUAGUUCAAAAAUCUAC
rnacentral:lncRNA from 1 species